CUGAAAGCACAAGCAGUUUUGGUAUCCUGGCGCAC
rnacentral:sRNA from 1 species